CAGUGGGAGCAUUGGGGGGAACUUUGCCUCCUGCAGCAGUCCUGGAAUGGGGACUGGCAAGAGAGAGACUACAGGAAGGCUGCUGUUCCCAAGUUUCAACUGACACAGCUUGGAACACACUGUUUCUCUGGAGCACUGGAUUCUCAGUGCCAGCGCCGAGCCCCAGGGAUAACCCUGAUGGCAAUAAAAAAAAAAAAAAGAUAAUGAACAACAACUGGAGAUACUAAGAGAAAAAUAAAGAAGCUGAUCACAGCAAAGGGACAUUUCCCAAGGACAACCAGCUGCAAAGAUCAGAUUUGAACGAGCCAGGAGAUAUGGGCUCCACCCCUGCCCUGGCCUGCAGUGUCUGCAAAUCUUCUGAACUCUCUGACUCUCACCUGCAAUAGACCAUGACCGUGUGUCGAAAGAAGCACUCCAAACUGACUCCUGAGGAGGAAGAGAUCCUAAACAAAAAGCAGUCAAAGAAAAUUGAGAAGAAAUGUGAUGAAAGGAAAAAUGAAUGCCAAAAUCAGCAGUCUUCUUGAAGAGCAGGUCCAGCAGAGCAAGCUUCUUGCUUGCAUCGCUUCAAGACCAGGCUAGUGUGGCCGAGCAGAUGGUUCUGUGCUAGAGAACAAGGAGCUAGAGUUUUACCUGAGGAAAAUCAAGACUCAUAAAGGCAAAGAAACUGUCUUCUCUUGGUUCAUGUAAUAAAGGUUUUCAUUGUUCCUUAAAAAUUGAAGAAGAGAUAAAAAGGCCAACAAACAUGAAAAAUGCUCUAACUCGUUGAUUGUCAGAGAAAUGCAAAUACAGACAACAGUGAGAUACCACUUCACUCCUGUGAGAAUGUCAUGCA